CAGCAGCCGCGGGAAUACGUAGGUGGCAAGCGUCGUCCGGAAUUAUUGGGCGUAAAGGGCUCGCAGGCGGUUUCUUAAGUCUGAUGUGAAAGCCCCCGGCUCAACCGGGGAGGGUCAUUGGAAACUGGGAAACUUGAGUGCAGAAGAGGAGAGUGGAAUUCCACGUGUAGCGGUGAAAUGCGUAGAGAUGUGGAGGAACACCAGUGGCGAAGGCGACUCACUGGUCUGUAACUGACGCUGAGGAGCGAAAGCGUGGGGAGCGAACAGGAUUAGAUACCCCAGUAGUCCCUGUCUCUUAUAC
rnacentral:rRNA from 1 species